UCCUGCUGGGAAAAAUUAGGCCAGCUAUGUGUUGUUAUCCUGCUCUCUUGGUAACAAUAAAAUCCUCCGCCACGCUGAUUAAACCCUGCUGGAAUACUCAGAUGAAAGCUAAGGAGCCUCUUCUGUGCCAAGUGACAGAAUAAGAGGAGCGCCUCAAGACUAAAUCUUCGUCUUUGUCUCACCGUCUCUGUUCUCCUGCUGAAAGACGGUUCUGAUUUAACUGUCUGGAUCUCUGCUCUGAUGUGCUCGACAUCACUCAGACACCCCCAUUACCCUGCCACUUCAUCCGCAAAUCCUUCAGCAAGUUACUACUAAAUUCAAAGAAAACACAAGGUUCUCCUCAGCAGGAAUCAUCGGACGCAUGUUGGACAAAAGGCUUCAACGAAACGAAAGACGAAGCAUGUUGAUCGUCGUCACCCAUCAUCAGUCCCACAGCCUGGGGAAAUGAUUUCUCACAGGACAGUCCUUCUCAAAAAUGGAAGACACUCAUAUGAUGUGUGUCAAUCUUUUGUUUUGUGUAUUUCACAGAAUUGUGAGUGCUCUGUGUUCUUGCUGCUGACGGGAUAUCACAGAAUUUGAACAUUAAGCGACACAGUUUUGGAUUGAUGUUGAUAAAUUUUCUUGUUUUCUAAAGUCAAGUUCUUUCAAAGAUCAAAUAUUUCACAUGAUUUUAUCAGAAAUGUUAUUUCUAUGAUCUCGUUUUGUGCAGUUCUGGUUCAGUGGCAUAUUUUGCGUUGUCCAUUCCUAUGUUGUUCAGCUGUAACCAACCGUUAUUCAUUUCUCCACAACAUUAUUUCUUGUUUUAUUGUUAUUGUGGCAGAAUUUAACUACACUAUUAUCGAGGCCCAAAGAAUUUACGAUAACCAUAUUCUCACAGUGACUAUAAGACUUGAAAAACAUUUGUCUCCCAUCUUCUGCCACAGAGUACAUCACUUCACUGUAUAGUAGAGUCACUGCAAGUUGUAGUUUUUAUUAGCAGACUUUGUUCUUUUUUUGUCUCAGUGAUGGUUAUUAUUAGCACUUAAAUGAAUAUAAAUCACUGAAUAAAAAAGCAAUUCAUCAGGAUCAGUUAAAUGUAAACGUCAGUGCUUUUUAUUCAGAAUAAAACAGACUUUUCCCGUCCACUAGUAUUCCUUUACAGGGCAGACAGUAUACAGUGACAGAGGAAGCAGGAAGAAAACAGAUUUUGUUUUGUUUGUGGUGAAACUACCAAAGGUGACUGACUCUCUAACUACUGCUGACAACUUCACUGACUCUCAGUUAGAAGCAGCUGCUCGCUGCUGCUGUCAGCUCAGGUUCUGUCAGCGGUGCUGAUGCUGCAGGAUGCUUCAAACCAAAGUGCUGCCUUCACUGCCCAAUUAGUGAGUAUCAGAACUGUUAGAACUAUAUUGAAUGUUGCCAUAUUGUUUUUGUAAAUACUCCACUACAAGUAAAAGUCCUGCAUUCAAAACCUCCCUUAAGUAAAAGUAUCUAAGUAUUAUAAGCGAAUUGUACGUAAAGUAAAAACCCUCAUCAUGCAGUAACAUGUUCCUGUCAGUGUUUAUAUCUGAUGUUUGUGUCUGCUGCAUUUAUGUGUAUGUGCCAUUUAACUGCUGUACAUGUUGAGCUCAUUAACUAUAAACUAUACAUUUUUUAUACAGUUGUCUACUUUAGUCUACAGAUGUGCAUCAUAUUCUCUGACACCAUCAUAUGUGUGUAGUGUGGCCGUCCUGUGAGAACCACCAGUCUAUAAAUAGUCAUAAAACAGCCUGUUCUCAGCGCUGUGACGAUGCAGUUUCCAGUGAA